UACGAAGGGGGCUAGCGUUGCUCGGAAUGACUGGGCGUAAAGGGUGCGUAGGCGGUUCGUUAAGUCUGUCGUGAAAUCCCCGGGCUCAACCUGGGAAUGGCAUUGGAUACUGGCGAGCUAGAGUGCGGUAGAGGGUAGUGGAAUUCCCGGUGUAGCAGUGAAAUGCGUAGAGAUCGGGAGGAACAUCUGUGGCGAAGGCGACUACCUGGACCAGCACUGACACUGAGGCACGAAAGCGUGGGGAGCAAACAGG
rnacentral:rRNA from 1 species